rnacentral:lncRNA from 1 species
UCAUCCAUAUAUAUAUAUAGAUAUAGUCCGGCUGGGAUACUAUCGAUAGCAUCAAGUGUUUGGUGCUAUCGAGUUUUCCGCCGUUAAAUUUAACCAUUUAACUAUUUUCACCCAUUAGAUUAUACUAUUAAACCAGUAACUCACUCAACCCUGGGGGCUCACAUCAUCCUAACAGUACAUUUUUUCAUUCAAGGACUGAAAACCUAAUAGUACCAGUAACUUUGUGCUAUUGAUAGUGUUCCAGUCUAGUUCUAUAUAUAUAUAUAGAGAGAGAGAUCAGAGAGAGAGAGAGAGAGUUGGGCUGGAAUAUUAUUGAUAGUAUUUUAUUCCUUUUGCUAUCAAGUUUUUAACACUUGAAUGAAAAAUUAUAAGGUUAAAAUAAUAUUAGUCCGUUAGAAUUGAGUAGUCCCCAUUGAAUAUAAUAUUUGAUCCAAUGAUUAGGAAUGAUUCAAAGAAUUGAUCCAAAGGCUAUUCUAGCCCAACGCUCUCCCUCUCUCUAUAUAUAUGUAUAUAAAUAUAUAUACUUUUAA